rnacentral:rRNA from 1 species
UACGGAGGGUGCGAGCGUUGUCCGGAAUCACUGGGCGUAAAGGGCGCGUAGGUGGCGCGGGCAGUCAACGGUGAAAGUUCGGGGCUCAACCCUGAAUCGGCCGUCGAUACUCCCGUGCUUGAGCACUGUAGAGGCAGAUGGAAUUCCGGGUGUAGCGGUGGAAUGCGUAGAGAUCCGGAAGAACACCGGAGGCGAAGGCGGCUUGCUGGGCUUGGUCUGACGCUGAGGCGCGAAAGCGUGGGGAGCAAACAGG